GACCUAGUGGCAAAAGGAAUCACACCUGCUCACAGUGUGAAGGAAUCUGAUUCAAGGCAGGAGAUCCUGGUUCGAAUCCAGGCUAGGUCU